rnacentral:misc_RNA from 1 species
GGCAUCUAGUAAUCUCUGGUGU